rnacentral:lncRNA from 1 species
CUUCCUAGUUUGUAGAAGCUGCUUAAGAAGCUUCCUAACUCAUAGAAGCUGCUUGAGAAGCUUCGUAGCUUAUAGUAUAUAUAUGAACCAAGACUGAGGAGAUUCUCAGUCUCGACAACACACCUCUUGGAGCUCUAGCUCACCUCUCUAGUGUUGUUCUUGUACUCAUCUGAUUAAUCUAGUUCUUGCUAAUUCUUCUUAACCUUCUU